rnacentral:tmRNA from 2 species
GGGGCUGAUUCUGGAUUCGACGGGAUUUGCGAAACCCAAGGUGCAUGCCGAGGUGCGGUUGGCCUCGUAAAAAGCCGCAAAAAAUAGUCGCAAACGACGAAAACUACGCUUUAGCAGCUUAAUAACCUGCUUAGAGCCCUCUCUCCCUAGCCUCCGCUCUUAGGACGGGGAUCAAGAGAGGUCAAACCCAAAAGAGAUCGCGUGGAAGCCCUGCCUGGGGUUGAAGCGUUAAAACUUAAUCAGGCUAGUUUGUUAGUGGCGUGUCCGUCCGCAGCUGGCAAGCGAAUGUAAAGACUGACUAAGCAUGUAGUACCGAGGAUGUAGGAAUUUCGGACGCGGGUUCAACUCCCGCCAGCUCCACCA